UACGGGGGAUGCAAGCGUUAUCCGGAAUCAUUGGGCGUAAAGCGCCUGUAGGUUGUUUAAUAAGUCUGUUGUUAAAGACUAGGGCUCAACCCUAGGAAAGCAAUGGAAACUACUAGACUUGAGUAUGAUAGGGGUAGAGGGAAUUUCUAGUGUAGCGGUGAAAUGCGUAGAUAUUAGGAAGAACACCGGUGGCGAAGGCGCUCUACUGGAUCAUUACUGACACUCAGAGGCGAAAGCUAGGGUAGCAAAAGGG
rnacentral:rRNA from 1 species